UAAGAUUUACAUCUUCAAGUUUCCCUGUUUGUUAUCUAUAGGCUACCGUUAGUGAUGAAUCGUAUUACAAUAGUAAUGGUGAUGAUUAACAGCUUUGAAUAUAGUUGUGAAUGCAUGUAGUUUACUCCUGUUUUAGAACUGUUUUAUAGGUAGUUUGGUGUCAUUUUAUGCCAUUUGAUAGAACUGCUUUGUCUUCAAUCAGCUUCCAAGCAUUGAUAAAACCUAAGUAGAACAUUUAAAAAUGUUUUGCACUCUGGUACCCCCCGCUCUCAAUUAUACACAAAAAUAUCUAAUUUCACAUUAGAGAAAUGAUAUUUGAAACAACCAUUUUUAAACAACUUUUGUGACAACUCUCUCUCAUACUCUCAUUGUACUUUUAUUCUCUCUCUUCAUUUCUCUCUCUCUCUCUAAUGUUAUAUAAGGGAGGAAAAAGGUUGUCACUAAAAGUUGUUUAAAAUUGGUUGUCAAAAUAUCAUUCCUCUUCACAUUAUCGAGAAUUUUAUUUAAUCGUAAUACAUUUUUAAUGUAAUAAAUAAACAGACAAAGUAAUGUUAUUCUUCAAGCAACCCUUCAUUUGAUUGAACUUGUUCCAUAGGAAUAAAAGGGAUAUUCAGAAAGAAAAUCUAUAUUAAACGAAGAGUGUUUUAGAAGUAACAUGAUUAGAUAAUGCAAAAUUACUUGAGAUUUGCUUGCAUUUGAAACUACCAAAUAUGAGUUCUUUUUCAUUUAUAAUUGUAACUGAAAAGAGUACAAAGAUUGGAAUGAAUGGGUACGUUGAUGAUUUCCAUCUCCGUUUAUAAAUUUAUUUCUAUGCGAUGUUUAUUUGGUAUAGAUCUUUAUGUUCUGAAAUUUGUUUUCUCAUGGCUUUAUGCAGAGCAAGGGAAGGAUUUGGAUGAAUUUUUCUGUUCAACUGCUGGUAUGAUUUUCCGCACCAUUUUUAUUCCUGUGAUAACUUACACAUGUUUAAUGAUCUGAUUACUUCAAAAGAUAAAGUGUGGACUUAAUAAUCAUUGAUCAGAAAACCAAUGGUUGAGAUUUCAACAACUUUUUAGUUUAUCAUACACAUGUUCUUGUAUAUUAGCUUAUCAACUGAUAUUUUUUUAAUCAAUGGUUAUUGCUGCACUUUAUCCUCUAAAGUGUAUCAAUCCUUUGUUUAUAACACUACUGAAGCAUAAUUAACCAUCACAUAAUAGGAGCUCGGUAAAACCGAGUUAUAGUUGAUAAUGCAAGUUUGCACUUGAAAAUAUGAUUAAUUUGUUUAUAAUCUGAAGCUGAGAAGUGGAUCCUAGGCUAUAUCUGACGGUGUUUGUUAGCAAAAAGUCUAUUCCAUCUUAAUGAGUUUUUUUAUUCGUCUGGAAUCUUUUUGUGGGAGAUUACUGGUUAAUUAUGUAGUAGGAUCUGGUUCCUGCUAUGAGAUGGAAUGUCAUUUGGAAUCGCUUGAUUUGGAGAUUGGUCCUGUGGUUUUAUCUUCCACAUAUUUUGUUCAGCUGUUUAAUAGCUGAGCACUGAAGACAAUAUGAGGGUGGUAGAAAUGAGUAGGAGUGUGGGACAUUAGAAGAUGAACAGUCAUUUGUUGCCAGGGUAAAAGAAAUAAAUAAGUACACCCAUUCUAGAAAUGGGUGAUCUCCAUUUCCUCUAUCACCAUAAUUUUAGGAGUAUAAACAUGAUAAUGUGGUAUUUGUUUGCCGUUUUUAUACCCUCAAACUUUAGUAAUGGAGAUGGUCCAUUCUCCUAUUGGCACUCACUCAUGAAACACGAGGGAAGGUGGGGUGGGGUGGGGUGUGGGAUUAGAAAUAUGACAGGGCAGGUGCAGAGCACUUGCACAUAAAAGCAGAUAAAAAAAAAUCAUAAACCUGAAUAUGAUUGAUCAUAGAGAACUGACCAGAUGAUUGGCAUCCGUUGAUAAAAGAGUUAUGGAAGUAAUAUUAAAACUUAACAAUUAAAAUAGUUGUAAAAUUUGAUUAAUGGAAGUACUUAAUGGAGGAAAACUUGACAUUUUGCAGGGAAGUUCCAGACUGAAGUUGGCAAAGCUUGGGCAUCAGAGAUUGUAUCGAGAAGGAGUAAUACCUAAAUCCCCUUGUCAUUCCGAUUCAACUCUGGAGUUUAUGGAUUUCCCUCUCAAGAUGGAAGUGGAAAGGGCGAGAGGGCCCUUUUAAAACUUUGUCUCUCAAUUGGUUAAUGUAGCAUAUGGAGUGUAAAUUGGGAAUCCGUGGUGACGGAGAUCUCUUAACACUGCAAGCUGUACAGAUCACCAAAAUAGUAGGUGUGCAUGAAGCAACAUUGAGUAGAUGAUUUAGUUGUAUCGUUGUCUCAUAUUCAUGAGUCCUCAUUGACAUGAAGAAGACUGAAAAUAUUGAACCUUAAAAGUACAACUUUCACGAGUUCCAUGUGGGUUGGUUUUACUUACAUGGAAGUAGGUUGGGUUCCAAUAACCAUUGUUUUUGUUGUGCCUUUAGAUGUUUUUGGUCGUUAUUUUGACUUUGAAUGUUCAACCAUCUGCUAGUUAUGCAAUUCCAGUAAAAGUUCCCCUUUGGUGGUGCCAUGUUCAACCACGAGAACCUUUGGUGGCCCCACUUAACUAUAUAUAUAUUUUUGUUUUUUUAUUGUUUUUUAGAGUUAAUAGGUCUUUACCCCUGUAAUAUAGAUCAUUUCUGGUUUUUCCCCUGUAAAUUUUUAUCUUGAAUUACCCCCUAAUAGGCCAAACAAAAACCAAAUUUUUUUUUUUCAAGAAAUUUUCGUUUUUGUUAAACAAUUUUUUUUUACAAAGGGUAAAUAAAAAUAAAAUUACAUGGGGAAAAUCGGAAAUGACCUAUAUUAGAGGGGAUAAAGACCUAUUAACCCUUGUUUUUAUAAACAAAUUACACCCUCUUGUGCAAAAAAUCACUAUGUUUAUUACAUAGUUAAUGUAUCUUGUCGAUAUUAUGGAUUAGAUAUAUCAAAUUAUUUAGAAUCUAAAAAGUUUUCUUUUGUUUUUAACAAACCUGAUGUGUAUAUUAUAGUUAUUAGUCAUUACAUAAUUUUACUUCCACAAUAAAAACUAAGCGUUUUUUACACUAAAAAUUAUUCAAUAUAUUUUGUGAAGAAGCAAAAUGUUCGAUCACAUACAUAAAGAAAAAUAUAGUUUUUUUUUUUUUGAAAAUAAAGAAAAAUAUAGUUGAUUAUGUGUUUAUAGUAUAUUUAUAUUGUUGAAAAUAAUGACACUAUAAUAAUAACAACAAUGUACAAAUGAACAUAGAUGUUGAUAUGGUUUCAAUCUUGAGGAUAUAUUAUAAUCUAUUUUUGCAAUUCUUUUUUUGCUUUAUUGAAAAUUUUGUCACAUUUAAGACUUCAAGGAUGAGCAUAUUCUCAGAACUCAAGAUCUCAAGCCAACACCACUAAAUCAACUCUAAUGGGUUUAUCUUUUUAUAUAAGUACAUGUAGUAUAUGGGCGGAGGCUAGCGUGAGCGACCAAAACAGAUCUCUCACGGUGCAAAUUGAAUUUUCACCAUUGGAUAUAUUAAUUAUUUAUUAUGUGGUCAAGAUGAUUCUUUUGAAGAAUAAGUAUCCCAUUUUGGUGAAUGCUAUGGUGAGGUAGGGGUCAUGUAAUUCACAUGUGAGAACAAAAUAUAACCGCAAGAUAUGAUCAAUUGUUAGCUUCUGAUGAAAUUAAUAGUGAGAACACGUAUAUUUUCUUUUCAAACUCAAUUAAUCAAAAAUUGAUUUUCAAAUUAAAAUAAUUUAUUUUCUCUCUUUCUUUUUUCUUUUCACGGCGUGUAUUUAGUAGGUGUUGCCUAGGUUAGACAUACUCAAGAAGACCAAAAAAUUCAAUGUAUGGUAUCCACAAAUAAAAUUUAUCACGGAUUGGUAUGGGUUGAAUAUCUUAAUAUGUACACACAAAUAGAAUAAAAUAAAUCAUAUUAUAAGUACUCGUAAAUUUAUAGAUACACAGACAUAUGAAAUUAACUGAAUUUAGUAAAAAUAUUAACACAUAGGAUAAAAUUAAUUUUUUUUAAGUUUCUAGACUCGCAUAAAUCCGUACCCGUUGUUAAAUUAAUAAAAAUAUACAAUUGUUGUGGUACUUGAAAAAUAAUCUUCUCUUCAUGAAAUAAAAUAUAACUGAAUUUUCUAAUUAAUGAUUUUUGUUUGAUUAGUAAUUUAUGAAUACCUGGUUUGGAUUUGUUGAACUUCAGAAAAAACAUCGUUAAUUAUUAGUUUUGAAUUAUUAUAGGGUGCGUUUGAUAUUCCGAUUUUUCCUAAAAGUCCAAAAUAUAAAAAAAUAUAAAAUAAACAUUUUCAAACAAUUUUUAAUAUACACAAUAAACUUUAAUUUGAAACACGUAAGAAUUUCUUAAGAAAAAUACCUCUAUAUAAAUUAAACUUAGCCAGUUGCAAUAUCAAAAUAAUUGGUACAUUUGGAUUUUUAGACGUAAAGCCAAUAAGUUGAUUUGCAUAUUCUUCCUAUGGUGUGCACCUGAGUUUCUCCCCUCCUCUGCAAAUAGAUUAAAUUAUAAAUCACAUAAGUUUAUCAAUGUGGGACAAAAACAUUAAAUAAUAUUUUUUCAAGAUCAUCAAACUUCAUAAGUAUAUAAUUGGUUGAUUGAACAUCACUUUUGUAUUUUUUUUUUUUUUUGAGAAGAUCACUUUUGUAUUUUGUGAGUUCACCCUUUGCGGCUAAUACUCCAGUAAUAUCCUAAGAAAAUAUGAAAGGAGAACUUAAUAUCCAAUGCAAUAAAAAAAACUAUAGCAAAUAAAUAGGCAAUAGAUAUAAAAAUUAACUCCUUAAAAAAUACCAAUUAGGCGUGAAUCUUAAUUCUUAGCUUUAAAAAUUUCAUCAUAAGAUGUGAAUUUGAUUGCAUCAAAAAUAACAAUUAAAUAAUCAACCGGCUCCAUGGUGGUCAUAUCCUUAAAAAAAAUAGUCUAUAGUCAUGACAAGUUGGUUUAAAUUUAAAGUUGUUCUUAGAAACUGAGAUAUUUGUUAUCUCGUAACACAUUCCCUCAAUCAACAUAAAUUGAUAUUUUAAAUAAUGUAAAGUCAUAUUAGCUUGUAAAAGUUAACAAAAAUUGUGAAUAACUAUACAAUCAAAUGUUCUAAAAACAAUAAUAAAACAUAACAAAUAAAAAUUGUAAAGAAUAAUUAUCAUAAAAUAAUUUUAAAUAGUAUAAAGUCAUAUUAGCUUGUAAAAGUUAACAAAUAAAAAGAACUGAUGUAUAUUUUUGAUAGAAUGUUAACUAGAUUUCGAUCAUGUUAAUUGGAUUUCUAAAAGGAUAGUGUGUCGAAUUGACUUAUAUCGAAAAUUUCAAUCGUCGAAAUUUUCGUUACUACUUUGUUCUUAGUUUAGUUAGAUCAUAUCCAACAGUCGAAAUUAUUUUAUUUGAUACCAUUUGUCAGUUAGGUCUGUUUUGGUCGUCAAACGAAUAUCCUUUCAUAUUGACUAGGUUUUUCGAUGGAUAGUUUGACGGAUUGACUUAUACUGAAGAUUCCGAUCGUCAAAAUUUCAGUUCCUACUUCGUUCUUAGUUCAAUUAGGUCACAUCUAACGGUCAUAAUAGUUUUAUUUGAUACUAUUAGUCGGUUAGGUCUGUUUUGAUUGUCAGAGGAAUGUCCUUCUAUGGCCCAACCUAUUAACGGUGUCAAAAUGAACAUGACCUAAUUGAACUAAGAACUAAGUAGGAACUGAAAUUUCGGCAAUCGAAAUCUUUCAUAUAAAUUAUUCUGACAACUUUUGUGACAAUUUUCUCUCUAACACUCACAUAAUAUUUUUACUUUCUCUCUAUUACUUUCUUAACUCCCACAUUCAUCAUCAUCGCCAUCCAAUCACCAACAACAACAACUAGCACCAUCUUCAUCAUCAAUAAUUAAUUGAAAUUAUAAGUUGGAAUUUAAGAUAUAUUUUUUUACAAAAAUGAAAUUGAGGAAAUUAGAAACGCAUAAGUGUCCCUUCUUCAUAUACGUUUAUUUAAAAACAAUAAGAAAAGUUUGAACCCAGAUUCACACCCGUUUGCCCAUCAUUGUUCAGAACAAUUCACAUUUUCAGAUUCGUAAACUCAGAUUCCAAAUCAAUUCCAAAAGUUUGAUUCCCAAUUCAUUGAAUCCAACGAAAAAAAUCAAAGAUAGAGUUUUGAAUCUGCAAUCGAUUGCGACCGUGUUAGAUCCUUCACGAUUUACGAGAUCCUUCAAAAUAGUGAAUUUUAAGUUUGUCUUGUUGAUGGUGUUGAAUGACUACAAAUCAACCUCUCAAAAAUCUGGAAAUUAUCGGUUUCUAACAACACCAUCCUUUUAUUGUUCUUUUCCUUCAUCUUUAUUAUUUUUUCAUCCUGAUCUAAACUUGCUUUCUUACUCACACACCCAAAACUCAUUUCAAAACUCUCCAGACACAAUAGAAUAAUAAUCAAUAUUAUCCGUCAUCAUGAAUACCAUCAAAUACAAAACUUUAUUCAUUGUAGCUAGAGCUGUCAAAACGGGCGGCCCGGCCCGGCCGGGCCAAGGGCUUUCAAGGGCCGGGCUAAAAAGCCCGGUUUGAAUAUGGGCUGCAAAAAAUGAGCCCGAGCCCGAGCCCGGCCCUAUACGGGCUAACGGGCCGGCCCUGGCCCGUAUUUUUUUCUUCCCUUUUCCAUUCUUUUAAGUACGGAACAUACAUAAAUAUGUCGGGCUAACGGGCCAGCCCGGGCCCGUAUCAGUCUCUCACACACACAGACCACAAAAAAAAAAAAAAAACAGUUGUAUUUUUUGCGGGCUUCCGGGCAGCCCGGACGGGCUAGCCCUAACGGGCCAAGGGCUUUUACGGGCCGGGCUAAAAAGCCCUCUUCAAUUUUGGGCUCCAAUUAUUCGGCCCAAGCCCUACAUUUUAUUCGGGCUUUCGGGCCGACCCUUACGGCCCGGCCCAUUUUGACAGCUCUAAUUGUAGCUCAAUUUUAAGGUUGGAUGUGAAAUAGGUUUCACUUCAAAUAUCGAGAUGUUGCUUCACGUGUCUUUGAUCUACAUCUCCAUUCAUAAAAGUAUGUUGUGUUGUUAAGUCAAAAUCAAUUGAACGCUAGUUUCCUAAUAUAAAAAGCUUAUUUAGAACCAUUAACAUAUUGAAAAUCACAUGAUGCAGUAACUCUUAAUUUUUCUUUAUAGAAUAAAUAAAAUAGUUUGUGAUGAACGUUAAUAUUUUUUUGUUAGGAAAUCUUCUGGGUAGUUUUGAGGUACGAGGAAGAAAGGAAUCAAUUCUCAUCACUCAUCAGAUGUUGAUAGUGGAUUAAUGUUCCUUAUGUUUAAGUUGAACUCAUCUAGACCAUAGAUCUAAUCCAAGAGUAAUAUUUAUUGCCUUAAAGGUGAAGUACCUUAUGUUAGCAGCCACCAUAAAUGCAGAUAACUUAUUGCAAACAAAAAAAAUUCAACUUUAACUUGCAAAUGCAGGUAAAAAACCCCAAACCACCGUGAGAGAUAUAUAAUGGCCUCUCACGAUAGCACCCGCCGUAGUAUAUGAUAUCACUCAACUUAUACAUUGAUUUUAGUAUUAUGCCAAAUAACAUUAUUAUGAUUUCAAUGACGAAAAUUGUGUAUAGUGAAAGUGGUUAAACUUACGCAAUAAAAUGAACUGAUUUUUAAAUCUAAGUGGGAGAGAUAAACCCUAUUAAUCAUACUUAACACAUCUCAAAUAUGAUUAACUCAAAUGAAGGGAACUAAUGAAAGAAAAAGACAAUUGUGAAUUCACCCUUAAAUACAUGACAUUUAAAAGGAUUCGUAACUUUUUUUAUAGAACAUAGUUUAACGAGUUAGGUUUUAAAGACUUACUAAGUCAUAUCAUCAAGCCUCAAGAUUCUAAAAAUUGCAAACCGUUAAAAGUAGUAACAUAUCAAUAUCUAUAAAUGAAGUCCUCACACCACACAAGUGAAGUUGAAUCAAUGGCCUUGCAAGGUACCACAUGAGGCAAACUCUUUGAUUUUGUUUGGGAGUUUGAAGAGGAAAGGAAGGAAGCGCUUUGGGGACGGUAAAUAUAUAGGGGAAUGGAGAAAUCUUACACAUUUUGUUGAAAAAAUAUUUUUUAAAGAAUGAUAAAUUAAUGUUUAUAAUUCAUAUAUUUUUAAUAUUAAUAUUAUAACUAACGUAAAAUAAAUUUAAAGAAUUCAUAUAAAUAAUCCAAAAUCCUCGUCCAAUACAACUUUUUAGCCCCUUGACGGAAAGUUUUUAUAUUAUUAUGAAGAAAAAUUAACCUCCAAAAUCCUCCCCAAUAUACUUUAUUUCUUCGCUCGUGCUCCUUCUUUUUUUUUCUUUUCCAAAACCCUCCACUAUUUAAAAAUCUUCCUCUCCUUUUUCCUCCAAACUUGCAAACAACGCCAAAUUUUUGUACGAGGCAUAUUUUAUACGAGUCAUUUCCAAAAGGCUAAAUUGCAUUUUUGGUCCCUUAACUAUUUAGGUAGUAUCGCUUUGGUCCCUUAAUUAAAAUUCGAUUUAUUUUGAUCCUUUAAUUUCUCUCUGUUACACAUUUUGGUCAUUUCCGUUAGUUUUAAUUCAAAAAUGUUAGGUUUUCUUCACCUUCUUCUCCUCUUUUUCAUCUUCAUAUCAUCUCCAUCAACCUUCAACAACAAGAAUCCCAGAAAAAUUUCAGAAGAAAAUGAAAAAACCCUAAUGUUUUUGAAUUAAAACUAACGGAAAUGACCAAAAUAUGCAACAGAAGUUAAGGAACCAAAAUAAAUCAAAUUUUAAUUAAAGGAUCAAAACAAUUCUACCUAAAUAGUUAAAGGACAAAAAUUGCAAUUUAGCCUUUCCAAAACUAACCUGUUGCAAAAUUCUCACCAUAUUUUAGACUAGUCAUUUCAAAUUUUUUGAAUCCUUUCUUUCAACUUCAGAAAAUUGCUUUCUCGUUCCCUUCUUCAUCUCAAUUACUCCAUGCAAGUAGGAUAAACUUAUCUCUCUUUUUCCAUUGCCCAAUACUUUACUCAUUCUUCUAUAGCAGAACAAGUUUCUUUCAUCUUGUGUUCUUCAACAAGGUAUUUAAUUUUUCUUUCUAUUCGUCAAUUUUUUAUUAAUUAAUUUUUUCCUCUUGCUUUUGCUAUUCAAUUUUCAAUAGUUAUAAAAGAUCAUAGUGCAUUGUACCUGUUUGUUUAUUUUCUUUGGAAAAAAAACAAAAAUGUGUUUGUCCAUUGCACGGUAAAUCACUGAACUGUGUAAUGUCUGAUUUUAGGGUUUUCUGGAAGCUAAAGAAGCUAUGGCAGGUUUGAAUCUUCUCAACAGUGUCUCUUGGAGGGUGAAGAGAUACCAAGGCUUCGUCGCCAAUUCGAAGCUGAAUCCUAAAGGUUCUUCUUUCCUUCGGUGUUUUAUGUGAAUAAGAACUUGAGAUUAGAUAGAUUGCAAGUCUAUGCUUUCAAUUACGAUUGUUAAAUGAGGUUGAAUCUCAUAUCAAAAGCUAUCUCAAAGGGUGAGGGUGCCCAAACAGAUUUAUACACUCAACAACCUAGAAACCUGAGCAAUUUAGGAGUCCAAACAAACUACAAACAACUUUCAAUACCACCACCCUCACGCCUAGAGUGGGCCUGGGUCUAAUUCUCACAUUGCAAUCCUUAACCCGACUCUGAUACCAUGUUAAUUGAGCUUGAAUCUCAUCCCAAAAGCUAACUAAAAGGCUAAGGGUGCUCAGACACAUUUUCACGAUAUGAUACACAUCGUUUAUCGUUCAACCACUUUUUUGAAUCGUGUAUCGUAUCAUGUAUCGUAAGAUACAUGAACAAAAAAGAAUAUGAGUUAAAGUAUCAUAUAUAAACUUCAAGAUACUUGAAAAAAUGUGUGGGAAGUUGUAAAGUACAAGAACGUGUGUGGCUUUUGGGAAUAGUUCCAAUUUAAUUGGACGGCUACAAAACAAAACCUUAGAAUACAAAGUGGUUCACCCUGUAAUAUCUGACGUGUCACACAAACCGAUCCAGUUCUAGUAUCGACCCAUGUAAAAAACGAAAAAAAAUCCGACGUGCCAUGCAACACGACUUGGUUUCUGCAAGUGAGACACGAAUGUCACAAUUAUUGUAAGAUACCAGAUUGAAUCGGAAUACGUAGGAUAUGCCGGUGAUAGAUAGGAUACGCUCGCGAUACAUGGUCAUUUGCGAUACAUACCCUGAUAUGUAUUGCCCAUGGCUGUUUUCGUAUCGUAUCGUAUCAGGAUUCGUGGGAUACUCACUACACUGACUCAACAGCUCAGGAACCUGAGCAAUGUGGGAUUCCCAACAAACGACAAACAAUUUUCAAGGCCUGAGUCCAAUUUUGUUAACAAUAUAGGGUUUCAGAGAGAAUAACAAAAGAGACUGUUAGGGUUUCAUAAGAUUACAAUGACAUGAUAUGAAUUGCAUGACUUGUCAAAAGGAUACAAUAGAAUAUAUAAUAAAUCCACUAUAAUACCAAACAUGCAUUAAAUUGUAAAUUUCUUUCGAUCAACAUGAUUGAUGAAAAGUGAAUUUUUUCUUAUAACAGGAUUUAGAGCGAGUAUUUAGAAAAAGAAUAAUAAAUAUAUAUGUAAAAAUUUGUAAAAAAUUAGUAUAUUUUGGGAAACGUAAAUAUUCCAAAUGAGUCUUGUAAGUUGGAGUAUAUUUUCUUUCAACUGCCCAGUGUGACAUUCACAUCCAUUUCUCCUUACACACACACACACCGACUUUCACCAGGAACCAACACAUGGCCGCUGCACCUUCAUCAUCAUCAUCAUCACCGUCAUCGGCUGUCAGCGCCAGCACCAAUACCACUCCUCCGCCAUCAUCUUUGGUGGUUCCCGACGCUUCCCCUUCUCCUUUCUCCGCCAUCGAGUUCCUCUCUAUCUGUCACCUUCUCAAGGUACGUCUCCAUAAAUCACCAUAAUUUACUCCUUAGUUUCUCAUAAGCGUUGGAUCAUUAAUUCAAGAAACGAAGCACAGCAGUUUUAUGUGCAAAAUUGAAUGUUACGAUGAUGUUCAUUUAAUGUAGCUUAUUAAAAUCUAAAAUGGUUUAGGUAUGUAAUUUAGUUUUAUUAGGUUAGAGAUACACGAUCCUAAUGAAGAUUGAUCGCGAUUGUGCUACUUUGAUUUUCAAUUUUCGAUUUCUUUUUGGUCUUUUAAUUCGUUGCUCUUUAACUUGUUUGAAUGCUGUGUGAUUUUGGAAUGAAAUAGACAACAAAGAGAGCUGGAUGGGUGAGAAGAGAUGUUAAGAAUCCAGAAUCUAUAGCCGAUCAUAUGUAUCAGAUGAGUUUGAUGGCCCUGAUUGCACCAGAUGUUCCCGGUCUAGAUCGAAACAAGUUAGUCCACUUUAUUUACUAUUAUUUUUUCCGAUAACAGCCAAAUGAGAAUUUAGGUUAUCAGAAAUUGGUUUGUUUGUUGAUUUUCAGGUGCAUAAAAAUGGCUAUUGUGCACGACAUUGCAGAAGGUAUGCUGAGUUGCUCUGUUUAAUCUGUCUAUGUCUAGUAAAAAUAGCUAUGUAUUCUUUAAGUAUUGUUCGCAAAUAAUAUUCGAGAGAAGUUUUGUUGAAGUCGGUCAGGGGAGUAGUAAUUUGGUGAAGUGUAAAUCAAUGGAAUCUGGAAGAGACCGAGUGGAUACAAGGGUGAGUUUAGAUGUGGUACUGGUAAUUUCUUGUUGUAAAUGGUAACCUUGACAGCGAAAAUUUGCAUAGAAAGUUGUAAACCAGCACACACUAGCCACUUUGCUGUUUCUGUGUUACUUUUCAUGAGAAGUUGACAAAUUCCUAACAUUAUAGAAAUCUACAUGAAAGAAUUUGUAUAACAUAUUAUGAAGUUUCAAGAAUUGGGAGAAUUUAAGUGAAACUGCAUUCAUUAGUAUUUGUUUGAGCUUCACAAUGCAUAAUCAACUAUACACACACACACACACACGCACGCAUGCGCGCGCACACACACGAACGCGCGCGCGCACACACACACAUAUAAUACAGAAUCUUCUAGACGCUAACAGAAAUUAAGUGAAACUUAACUAAUAGCUGUCAGUUAUGCCUAGCUGGCGUGUCCAACGUUAAGCGGCAGAGUCUAGGGAAGGUGAAAUUAUAUACUCCUAUCAUCAUAAUGCUGUUUUUGUUAUCCCUAUUCUGUUUUUGUUAAAAAAGCAGUUUUCAGGCUUUCGAAUUGGCAGAUGCUUUAACACGGGAGCAUCAUGUUAUCAUCAAAUUUGUCAUCCAUGCUUCUUCGUUGGAACUAUAAAUUGAUUUUGCUUACUUUGGUGCUUUGUUUAAUAGCAUUGAUCGGUGGCAUUACCCCCCCGGAUGGAAUUUCAAAAGCAUAUGCGAGUCGACUAGAAGCAGAAGCACUCGAGUAUAUGUGCGAAAUACUUGGAGUAGGAGAAGGAUCGAGAGGUGCUUCCUUGUCACUCUGUUGAUGAGUUUAUUAUUUAGAGAAUUGAUAAAACUGACAUCUCUUUGUUUUGACUGAAUUUUCAAACUGAAGGAAAGGAAAUAACUGAAUUGUGGAUGGACUAUGAAGCAAAUUCUUCUCCAGAAGCAAAAUUUGUCAAGGACCUUGACAAGGUUUGUGGUCUUUUGCCUAAUCAGUCUUUCAGUUGUUCACUUCUGCACUUUACCUGUUGGCUGGUGGUUUGGAUGGUAGGUUUUGGAGGAAAAUGAAUGGAAGGUGAAAUUUUUCAUUGUUGAAGAGAGUUACACUGUUUAUAAAAAAGAUCAAUGGAUUUGACAAUAAUAAGCUUUUGAGUAUAAAGUUAUUAUGUCAUGUUUUUCCCUUCCUCCUAAACUUAUUAAAUUAGAGAAAUUUUAUCCUCCAUUCAAACAUGUUCUAAGGGAUUUAUUUCAACUGGAGGGCCUAGGGAGAUGGGAUGAGGGGUGGACAGGAUGUCCUAUCAAGGGCCGUUGUAUUGGUACAUGCAGGCAAAUAAUGAUAAUGCCACAUUUUGGUCUGGGGCUAAAGUACUUUGAAUAUUUUCCAUGUAAACUGCUGUUACUUUGGUUCUAUUAUAAUUUUUUAUCCAUGCAGGUAGAAAUGAUACUUCAAGCCCUGGAUUAUGAAGACGGUGAGUGGAUUCUUGAAAUUUAUCUUUUCACUUUAUUACAAUAGUAUACAGGCCUUAUCAAACCAUUUGAAUUGUUUGUCAAUCUUUGAACAUUAAUGAUCUUCAAGAUUAAUGUAUAUUUUAGUAAGAAAUUUAUGCAAAUAACAUUGAACUUAGUACAUUUUACACUUCUGGCAGUUAUAACUAAGAUUUACAUCUUCAAGUUUCCUUGUUUGUUAUCUAUAGGCUACGGUCAUUCAUGGAUCAUAUGACAGUAGUGAUGAUGAUGAUUAACAGCUCUGAAUUUAGUUGUGCAUUCAUGUAUUUCACUCAUGUUUUCGAACUGUUUUUUAGGUAGUUUGGUGUCAUGUUAUGCCAUUUAAUAGAAUUGCUUUGCCUUCCAUUAGCUUCCAUCCAACCAUUGAUAAAGCCUAAGUAGAAUACAUUUAUCAAUGUUUUGAAUUCUGGUGCAUGAUGUAUGCAUAGUUUAACGAUUUAUAUUUGUAUGAUACUCCCCCUGGUCUGGUUAUACGCAAAAAUACCUAAUUUCAUAUUAGUUAAGAAUUUUAUUUAAUUAUAAUACAUUUUUAAUUUUUAAUGUAAUAAAUGAACAAACGAAGUAAUAUUAUUCUUCAAGCAGCCCUUCUUGGGAACUUGUUCCAUAGUAAUAAAAGGGAUACCAGGAAAUAAAAUCUAUAUUACUUGAAUUGUUGUAGAAAUAACAUGAUUAGAUAAUGUGAAAUUACUUGAGAUUUGUUUGUUUUUAAUUUACCAAACAAGUUCUUUUUUGUUUAUAACUGAGAUUGAAAAGAGUACAAAGAAUGGAACGGAGGGGUAUGUUGGUGAUUUCCAUCUUCGUUCAUAAAUUUAUUUCUACGCGAUAUCUAUUUUGUAUAGAUCUUUAUGUUCUGAAAUUUGUUCUCUUAUGGCUUUGUGCAGGGCAGGGGAAGGAUUUGGAUGAUAUUUUCCGUUCAACUGCUGGUAUGAUUUUCCGCACCGUCUUUUAUUCU
rnacentral:lncRNA from 1 species